AACGGUCGUACCAUGUUGAAUAUAUCGGUUCUCGUUCGAAUAUAUCACCGAAGUUAAGCUUCAUCGCACGCUGUCAGUACUUGGGAAGGUGGCCGCCUUGGAACACCGUGUGCC